UUCCAGACUCCUACGGGAGGCAGCAGUGAGGAAUAUUGGUCAAUGGGCGCGAGCCUGAACCAGCCAAGUCGCGUGAGGGAAGACGGUCCUAUGGAUUGUAAACCUCUUUUGUCGGGGAGCAAAAGACGCCACGCGUGGCGUUCCGAGAGUACCCGAAGAAAAAGCAUCGGCUAACUCCGUGCCAGCAGCCGCGGUAAUACGGAGGAUGCGAGCGUUAUCCGGAUUUAUUGGGUUUAAAGGGUGCGUAGGCGGGCAUUUAAGCCGGCGGUCAAAUGUCGGGGCUCAACCCCGGCCUGCCGUCGGAACUGGGUGCCUUGAGUGGGCGAGAAGUAUGCGGAAUGCGUGGUGUAGCGGUGAAAUGCAUAGAUAUCACGCAGAACCCCGAUUGCGAAGGCAGCAUACCGGCGCCCUACUGACGCUGAGGCACGAAAGUGCCGGUAUCGAACAGGAUUAGAUACCCGGGUA
rnacentral:rRNA from 1 species